GUCAUGGUCAGCGAUAGGAAAUAGUCUGAGUCUAUCUUGAAAUUUGUGGUCUUUUGCAUCUAUGUAAGUUUAUCAAUCUAGCGUUAUGACAUUAGAGCCUUUAAGAUCGACGUUUACGGAAGAACACAAAAGGCAAAUUUCAAAUCGUAUUUUGAGGUCAACUGUUAGAAGUUAGGACAAUUUCUACAUUGAAAUUGAAGAUGUCGAAAACUUGUGGAACUUAUCUAGAAAUACCUUCGAUUUGAAUUUUUCCGUUGGAGAUCUGCCAUAAACAUCAAUCUUAUGGACUUUUAUACAGAUGUUUAAAUGUUGACUACUGCUACCAUUAACCAAUCAGAUACGUUUAAUCUACCCGAUUAACCAAUCCGAACGCGUUUUAAGUUAGUGAGAGGUAGCGGUGGUGGAAGUCAAAUCUGAACCUCGUAGUGACGUCGUACGACCUUUACAACCAGAUUCCCAGAGUUCAGCAAGAACCAGACUGAUGAUGUUUAGUGCUGAAUUUUCAAAUAUACAGUGUUUCCUUGAUCUAAAUACUUCUCUGUCUUAAUAUUAUAUCAAUAUGAUUGACAACUCAUUUUGUUCUAAUAUGAUUAUA
rnacentral:lncRNA from 1 species